AAGAAGAUGAAAAGGAGCUAGAACACUCAUCUUUUCAAGAAAAGUUGGAUAAAGAGCUCAAAUAAUUGGAUAAGAAACUUGAACAAAAUGAGGCAUCAUUAUGAAAAGAAACUCCUUGAGAUGGAACAAGAAAAGAAAAUUUUGCAGGUAGGUAUCGGAACUGAAGAAUAAACAAGAAGCUCAGGCUCAAGUCUUGAAACAAAAAUAGAAGACUGAUAAGGCUACAAAACAACUUCAAGAUGAGAUCCACAGAGUUAUAUCCCAAAAGGUGGGCAUGCUGAUCAUAGUAUUUAGGGUGAUAUCCUCUGAUGGAACCAAAACCUUGGAAACAGCCAAUGCGCACC